UAUCUCUCCGUACGGGGAAGGAUGAGAAGCUUCGACUAAGGUUCGAUUCGAGCGCAGCGAGAAAACGUUGCCGCAGGCAACGACCCGAAGGGUGAGGAGCGGAGCGACGAAUAAUC
rnacentral:sRNA from 1 species